rnacentral:rRNA from 1 species
CCUACGGGAGGCAGCAGUGAGGAAUAUUGCGCAAUGGGCGAAAGCCUGACGCAGCAACGCCGCGUGAGGGACGAAGGCCUUCGGGUCGUAAACCUCUUUUCUGGGGAAAGAGCGAGGACGGUACCUCAGGAAUAAGUCUCGGCUAACUACGUGCCAGCAGCCGCGGUAAAACGUAGGAGGCGAGCGUUAUCCGGAUUUACUGGGCGUAAAGCGCACGCAGGCGGCUUCGCUAGUCGGGUGUGAAAGCUCCUAGCUUAACUGGGAGAGGCCACUCGAUACUGCGAGGCUUGAGGUUGGGAGAGGGGUGUGGAAUUCCCGGUGUAGUGGUGGAAUGCGUAGAUAUCGGGAGGAACACCUGUGGCGAAAGCGGCACCCUGGCCCACACCUGACGCUGAGGUGCGAAAGCGUGGGGAGUAAACAGGAUUAGAUACCCUGGUAAUCCACGCUGUAAACGAUGUCAACUGGGUGUCGGUAGCUUUACGCUAUCGGUGCCGAAGCAAACGCGUUAAGUUGACCGCCUGGGGACUACGGCCGCAAGGCUAAAACUCAAAGGAAUUGACGG